rnacentral:rRNA from 1 species
GACGAACGCUGGCGGUGUGCUUAACACAUGCAAGUCGAACGGAAAGGCCUGCUUUCCCUUGUGGAUUGCGGGUACUCGAGUGGCGAACGGGUGAGUAACACGUGAGUGAUCUGCCCCCAACUUGGGUAUAAGCCUGGGAAACUGGGUCUAAUUCCCGAUAGGACUGCAGGGUGGUGCCUGUGGUGGAAAACGAUUUUCUAGUGGUUGGGGAUGAGCUCGCGGCCUAUCAGCUUGUUGGUGGGGUAAUGGCCUACCAAGGCGGCGACGGGUAGCCGGCCUGAGAGGGUGGACGGCCACAUUGGGACUGAGAUACGGCCCAGACUCCUACGGGAGGCAGCAGUGGGGAAUAUUGCACAAUGGGCGGAAGCCUGAUGCAGCGACGCCGCGUGGGGGAUGACGGCCUUCGGGUUGUAAACUCCUUUCGACCGCGAGGAAGCCACCUGGUUGGAAGGGUGGUGACGGUAGUGGUAGAAGAAGCACCGGCUAACUACGU